rnacentral:rRNA from 1 species
UAAGCGUAGUAACCAAAUUCUCGCUUCUGAAGCCGGCCCGGGUCCUGCCGUAAAACCCCCUAUAUUUUUYUGGUUGACCUCGGAUCAGGUAGGAAUACCCGCUGAACUUAAGCAUAUCAAUAAGCGGAGGAAAAGAAACCAACAGGGAUUGCCCUAGUAACGGCGAGUGAAGCGGCAACAGCUCAAAUUUGAAAUCUGGCCUUCGGGUCCGAGUUGUAAUUUGCAGAGGAUGCUUUUGGCGCGGUGCCUUCCGAGUUCCCUGGAACGGGACGCCUUAGAGGGUGAGAGCCCCGUACGGUUGGACACCAAGCCUCUGUAAAGCUCCUUCGACGAGUCGAGUAGUUUGGGAAUGCUGCUCUAAAUGGGAGGUAAAUUUCUUCUAAAGCUAAAUACCGGCCAGAGACCGAUAGCGCACAAGUAGAGUGAUCGAAAGAUGAAAAGCACUUUGAAAAGAGGGUUAAAUAGCACGUGAAAUUGUUGAAAGGGAAGCGUUUACGGCCAGACCUUUUCCUGGCGGAUCAUCUGGUGUUCUCACCAGUGCACUUCGCCAGGUUUAGGCCAGCAUCGGCUUCUGUAGGGGGAUAAAAGCAGUGGGAAAGUAGCUCCCUCGGGAGUGUUAUAGCCCUAAGCAUAAUA